GACGAACCGUGCGAACGUUGUUCGGAAUCACUGGGCUUAAAGGGCGCGUAGGCGGGUCAGCAAGUCCGGGGUGAAAUCUUUCGGCUUAACCGGAAAAGUGCCUCGGAUACUGCUGGUCUGGAGUGAGGUAGGGGCCGCGGGAACUUCCGGCGGAGCGGUGAAAUGCGUUGAUAUCGGAAGGAACGCCGGUGGCGAAAGCGCGCGGCUGGCCCUCAACUGACGCUGAGGCGCGAAAGCUAGGGGAGCAAACGGG
rnacentral:rRNA from 1 species